rnacentral:rRNA from 1 species
AUCGUAACUCCUACGGGAGGCAGCAGUGGGGAAUUUUGGACAAUGGGGGCAACCCUGAUCCAGCAAUGCCGCGUGAGUGAAGAAGGCCUUCGGGUUGUAAAGCUCUUUUGUCAGGGAAGAAACGGUAGUAGCUAAUAUCUAUUACUAAUGACGGUACCUGAAGAAUAAGCACCGGCUAACUACGUGCCAGCAGCCGCGGUAAUACGUAGGGUGCAAGCGUUAAUCGGAAUUACGGGGCGUAAAGCGUGCGCAGGCGGUUGUGUAAGUCAGAUGUGAAAUCCCCGGGCUCAACCUGGGAAUUGCAUUUGAGACUGCACGUCUAGAGUGUGUCAGAGGGGGGUAGAAUUCCACGUGUAGCAGUUAAAUGCGUAGAUAUGUGGAGGAAUACCGAUGGCGAAGACAGCCCCCUGGGAUAACACUGACGCUCAUGCACGAAAGCGUGGGGAGAAAACAGGAUUAGAAACCCGGGUAGUCCUAGAGC